rnacentral:RNase_P_RNA from 1 species
UCGGGGAGCCAGAGGGUCGCGGUUCGCGGGGACGCGAGCUGAGGAAAGUCCGGGCUCCAAAGGGCAGGUCGCUGGGUAAUGCCCAGGGGGAGUAAUCCCUGGAAAGUGCCACAGAAAAUAAACCGCCCAGUAAUGCUACUGGGUAAGGGUGAAACGGUGGGGUAAGAGCCCACCAGCGGUUCAGGCAACUGAAUCGGCUCGGCAAACCCCGACCGGAGCAAGACCAAAUAGAGAGGCGUUAAGGUUGUGCCCGGCUAAAGCCUCUGGGUAGGUCGCUUGAGCGCAGAAGUAAUUCUGCCCCCAGAUGAAUGACCCUCACUCUGAGUUAAUCAGGGAACAGAACCCGGCUUAUGGCUCCCCGAGCAA